UACCCAGAAGAGGUUCCUGUACGAAAACGCAUUGUGCCCAAUUGAAAUCACCCCAUGAACAGCUGUGCCUGCAAGGCCACUGUAUUCACUUACUGAGUUCAUUUCAGAUUCCGCGCAACAUUUGCUUUGAACUCUUCUUUUCAGGUAAUGGAGGAGAAACCUCGUAAGGAUUAAGCUGUUGUUAUCGGUCCCAUAAGCCCCCAGAUUCUUUAUCACUUUUUCAACAAUUUUCGGGGGAAGCUUUGACAUGUCAUCGAACCACCAUUUGUUGCUUGAUUUAUAGGGUUUCAUUACCGUGUUCUUGCAGGAGGAAGAUACCAUAAACCCAUGAGCAGAAGUGGUUUCAGAGGAAGAUGAUGAUGAAGAUGGGGAAGCAGCAGACAAGUUUCCGUUUGAAUUCUGAGCAAUUUUCGCUAACAGAGCACAUACUAACUUUUCCACAAGACCGCACGAA
rnacentral:lncRNA from 1 species